UACAGAGGGUGCGAACGUUGCUCGGAUUUACUGGGCGUAAAGCGCGUGUAGGCGGAUUCGCAAGUCGGAUGUGAAAUCCCUGGGCUCAACCCAGGAACUGCAUUCGAAACUGCGUGUCUAGAGUAGUGGAGAGGAAAGUAGAAUUCCCGGUGUAGAGGUGAAAUUCGUAGAUAUCGGGAGGAAUACCAGUGGCGAAGGCGGCUUUCUGGACACUAACUGACGCUGAGACGCGAAAGCGUGGGGAGCAAAC
rnacentral:rRNA from 1 species